AUGAAAAUUGUCUAUAUAUCUCCAAGCUAAAAUUUGAAGAUGCCUCCGGGGUCAAUAUGGUAAAUACCUUAGGUUAACCCUAAAUGCUUUGGUAUAUAUAUUACUUUUCUCUCUGAGACGGCUGUAGGCUGUAGGGAUUUAGGGCGAUUACUCUCGCCGUCUUGCAUCUAAGGCCGCAAUUACUAUUGUCGCUGAUUAAUUUUCAUGGAGGUUGAUUUCGUCAUGCAUAUAUUGUUUUCGAUGGAGCUUCAGCCACGAUUUCUCUGUUUAAAAGGUAUGGUUGUUUUUUUCUGUUGUGAUUUACUAUUUUUAUCAUUUGUAUUUGUAGUACACGAAUACACGAUGUAGGAUGAUUUGUGUUUAAUGUAUUUGUCCAGUCUUUUUAAUAAUAAUUUUUAUUUGCUUUUUAGGACCUAGAAGAAAAAAAGUGUAAAAAAAAAAAAUAAUGAUAGCUUUUAUUUGCUCUUUGGACCAGAAGAAUAGAGUAAAAAAACAUUAGGGCGAUUAAGACAUUUAGUAAGUAUUGAGAAUUCAAAACGGUUAUAUGUUAUACUCUAGAUUUUGGCCCAUUUUUAAAUUGAGAAAUUGUUUUAUACUUAUAAUUUUUUUUAGCUGAAGCUAUUGUAUGAUUAAACCCAAGAAACCAAAAAGAAGAAAUUUACAUAUUAUAACCAAUUCCAUAUUCGCCUAAUUAAACAAUGUGGACUCCUACGGGCUGUCAACAAUCUAAAGUUCCUAUUUCUUUUUUAUAAAAUGACAAAAAUAGCCAUUUACACUAAUUGCAUUACAAAAAUAGCCAAAAUAAAUCGAAAUUACAAAAAUAGCCACCAAUUUCGCAGAUGAGAAGGUCCCAUCUGCAAAAUGACCUUCUUAUCUGCGAAAGUACAAGCACCUAAAGUACAGCUGUGCUUUAGGUGCUUGUACUUUCGCAGAUGAGAAGCUCCAUUUGCGAAAUACCCUAGUUUUUGACUAUAUAAACGUUUUUUUUUUCUUCCUUUUUCACCCUUCUCUACACAAAAACUCUCUCUAACUUUGGGCUUCUCUCGGAAUUUUGGCUAGUUUUUGAAGAAAAUGGAGGAUUAUGUCAACAAUCAAGCAAAUAAGGUUAGAUUUUAACUCUUUUAAUGUCAACAAUCUCUUUAUUUUAUCAUUUGUUGUAUUAUUUAGUGUUAAAAAAGGGUAAUUUUGUUGUGUUUGAUAGUUUUAAUAUUUUUUUAGUAUACUUGAAGUUUAAAUGCAAGUAGAGACAAGUAGAGACUGCGUAGAUAAUGUUUACAAUUUGUUAUUUUUGUUGUUUUUUUAGUUGUUGUAUAACCUGAAAUCUUGUAUAUUCUUAUCGUAUAAUUGUUUAUAUAAAGUGCAAAAUAGUCGUUUGUAUAUAUAUUUGUCGUAUAAGUAUAACAU
rnacentral:lncRNA from 1 species